rnacentral:rRNA from 1 species
AUACAUAGGGAGCAAGCGUUGUUCGGAAUUACUGGGCGUAAAGCGCGCGUAGGCGGCUAAGUAAGUCGGAUGUGAAAGCCCUGGGCUUAACCUGGGAAUUGCAUUCGAUACUGCUUGGCUAGAGUAUGGUAGAGGGUAGUGGAAUUCCUGGUGUAGCGGUGAAAUGCGUAGAUAUCAGGAGGAACAUCAGUGGCGAAGGCGGCUACCUGGACCAAUACUGACGCUGAGGUGCGAAAGCGUGGGGAGCAAACAGGAUUAGAUACCCCGGUAGUCC